AGGCUCUCACAAGGGCGGGCUCUCAGAAGAGCUGCCCCCACCCCCUCUCCCAGCCCCCUUCAGCUGAAAUUGUCUAAGAACUCAUUCUUGGCGUUCACUGCAAGCUAUAAGCUCUGCAAGUGGUGACCCCGACGUGAUCGCCUUGAAGUUACGCUUGAAGGAGGAAAACUCAUCAAUUUUCGGGGAAUCCCGCCUUUGUUUCCCAGGCUCUCUGAGCACGAUGUCUGCAGCUCCCGCCAGCAAUGGAGUGUUUGUUGUCAUCCCGCCAAACAACGCCAGUGGCCUCUGCCCACCUCCGGCCAUUCUGCCCACAUCCAUGUGCCAACCUCCAGGGAUUAUGCAGUUUGAGGAGCCACCGCUGGGGGCACAGACACCAAGGGCCACACAGCCACCUGACUUGCGGCCCGUGGAGACAUUCCUGACAGGAGAGCCCAAAGUUUUGGGGGCUUUGGCAGCGUGCUGCUCAUGGUUCGCCGCGGCCACGUGGGCAUCUUCUUCAUCGAGGGCGGCGUCCCCUUCUGGGGAGGAGCCUGCUUCAUCAUCUCCGGAUCCCUCUCAGUGGCAGCCGAGAAGAACCACACCAGUUGCCUGCUCAUUCCCCAGCACUUCAGGGGACCUGCAAAGUGCCAGGGGAGGGGCACCACCCAGGCAGACCAGACGCAGACUGUGCAUGUCCAGGAGAAGAAGACAGGGAUACUCUUUCAAUACACAAGCCAGGGUGGAAAGUGAGGUCCAUGCUCAUGGUCAUUCCGAGAAAGGAAAGAUGCUAGAAGAUCUCCUGUAAGAGUCCUGCUGGGCCUUGGUGAGCAGAGAGGACUUAGAAAUACCACAGGGAAAGCUGGAGAAUGCACGGAGGAGUGUGGGCAGGGUCGCCACUGAAACCACGCCUGGCUCCAUCCAACGAAGGCAAAGGUGAGGAGCAGCCUGGGCACCAACAUCCUCAGCGUCAUGGCGGCCUUUGCUGGGACAGCCAUUCUGCUCAUGGAUUUUGGUGUUACCAACCGGGAUGUGGACAGGGGCUAUCUGGCCGUGCUUACUAUCUUCACUGUCCUGGAGUUCUUCACAGCGGUCAUUGCCAUGCACUUCGGGUGCCAAGCCAUCCAUGCCCAGGCCAGUGCACCUGUGAUCUUCCUGCCAAACGCCUUCAGCGCAGACUUCAACAUCCCCAGCCCGGCAGCCUCUGCGCCCCCUGCCUAUGACAAUGUGGCAUAUGCCCAAGGAGUCGUCUGAGUAGCAGAUGUGGCACCUGCGGGUGGAGUCCAGCCUUUUCCCUCUGGGCCCAGCCUCUCCCCACCCCCACCUUGUUCAUCAGGGGCCAGCCCCAUCCCAGCUGCCCUCCCUCACCACAUCUACACAUACUCCGGCAUCUGAGUGAAGUGUCCCCAGGGACAUCUCUCCCACACUUUCCCCAGUGCUUUCUUUCUAAAAGACACCGGGCUGACGUCAGGGGUGUGUGUCCUUCAGCUCCCUGAGCCCUGUCACCCUUCCAGGACACCCACCUUGUGCAUCUAAGCAUUUCUCUGCUCAUUGGGGAAAUCCUGGCCUCAUUGGAGACUCAGGUUCGAGGCCUGCCCUGACCCUCGGGCCUCGGGAAGGUCAGAGAGCCCGGAAUCCUCCAGAAUGGAAGAGUCUGACUCUGGCAUUCCACAGAGGUGCCGAUACCAGGCCAAGGCCUCACAGCAGGGUAGUGGCCUGGCCGCAGGUCUCCUGGCCCCAAGAUCAGCUCUGUCCUUUGUCAUCUGUUGCCACAUCCAUGGAACUCAGGUUUCCUAUUUGGAAACUAGAGUGUUGAACCAGAUAAGGUUCAUCAGGCCCUUCCAGCUCCCCAGGCUCCCUGAAGUCCUGGGUCUAGGCCAGGCAUUGUCCCCCUGCUUCCUGGAAACCCUCAUUUUCCUUGUCUGUAAUAUGAAGUCAGCAUUGGCCCCGCCCCCCACCCCCUACCAUCUCCCAAUGGAGGGGAGGUUGCAGGGGAGAGCUGCCGCCAGCCCACUCCUGAGGCACCACCACAGUCAGCAUCGACAGGGGCACAGCAGUGGCAGUUUGGGACCUCCCUGUGCCUCUCAGCACUCCCUUCCCCACCCCCAUAGCCCAAGGACAAGGCUACCACAGAAGGUUACCACAGGACCUGGGCUUCGUCUCCAGGGGACAAGGAGACACUGUCAGCCUGGUGUUCACCAGGCCUGGUAGAUGAGAUGGCUUGUCUCAUCCACACCACAGAAGGAAAUAAACCAUGUGGCUUAAAUUUUGA